rnacentral:rRNA from 1 species
UACGAAGGGGGCUAGCGUUGCUCGGAAUGACUGGGCGUAAAGCGCACGCAGGCGGUCUGUUAAGUCAGAUGUGAAAUCCCCGGGCUUAACCUGGGAACUGCAUUUGAAACUGGCAGGCUUGAGUCUUGUAGAGGGGGGUAGAAUUCCAGGUGUAGCGGUGAAAUGCGUAGAGAUCUGGAGGAAUACCGGUGGCGAAGGCGGCCCCCUGGACAAAGACUGACGCUCAGGUGCGAAAGCGUGGGGAGCAAACAGG